rnacentral:rRNA from 1 species
GACGAACGCUGGCGGCGUGCUUAACACAUGCAAGUCGAACGAUGAAGCCGGAGCUUGCUCUGGUGAAUUAGUGGCGAACGGGUGAGUAACACGUGAGUAACCUGCCCUUGACUCUGGGAUAACUGCUAGAAAUGGUAGCUAAUACCGGAUACGACCCUCGGAGGCAUCUCCAGGGGGUGGAAAGAAUUUCGGUCAAGGAUGGACUCGCGGCCUAUCAGCUAGUUGGUGAGGUAACGGCUAACCAAGGCGACGACGGGUAGCCGGCCUGAGAGGGGGACCGGCCACACUGGGACUGAGACAGAGCCCAGACUCCUACGGGAGGCAGCAGUGUGGAAUAUUGCACAAUGGGCGCAAGCCUGAUGCAGCAACGCCGCGUGAGGGAUGACGGCCUUCGGGUUGUAAACCUCUUUUAGUAGGGAAGAAGCGAAAGAGACGGUACCUGCAGAAAAAGCACCGGCUAACUACGUGCCAGCAGCCGCCGUAA